ACCAUGCAAGUCGAGCGGUAGGGCCCUUCGGGGUACACGAGCGGCGAACGGGUGAGUAACACGUGGGUGAUCUGCCCUGCACUUCGGGAUAAGCCUGGGAAACUGGGUCUAAUACCGGAUAUGACCUCCGAUCGCAUGGUUGGUGGUGGAAAGAUUUAUCGGUGCAGGAUGGGCCCGCGGCCUAUCAGCUUGUUGGUGGGGUAAUGGCCUACCAAGGCGACGACGGGUAGCCGACCUGAGAGGGUGACCGGCCACACUGGGACUGAGACACGGCCCAGACUCCUACGGGAGGCAGCAGUGGGGAAUAUUGCACAAUGGGCGAAAGCCUGAUGCAGCGACGCCGCGUGAGGGACGACGGCCUUCGGGUUGUAAACCUCUUUCAGCAGGGACGAAGCGCAAGUGACGGUACCUGCAGAAGAAGCACCGGCUAACUACGUGCCAGCAGCCGCGGUAAUACGUAGGGUGCAAGCGUUGUCCGGAAUUACUGGGCGUAAAGAGUUCGUAGGCGGUUUGUCACGUCGUUUGUGAAAACUCACAGCUCAACUGUGAGCCUGCAGGCGAUACGGGCAGACUUGAGUACUGCAGGGGAGACUGGAAUUCCUGGUGUAGCGGUGAAAUGCGCAGAUAUCAGGAGGAACACCGGUGGCGAAGGCGGGUCUCUGGGCAGUAACUGACGCUGAGGAACGAAAGCGUGGGUAGCGAACAGGAUUAGAUACCCUGGUA
rnacentral:rRNA from 1 species